UACGGAGGGUGCGAGCGUUGUCCGGAAUCAUUGGGCGUAAAGAGCUUGUAGGCGGCUUGUUGCGUCAGCUGUGAAAACCCGCAGCUCAACUGUGGGCUUGCAGCUGAUACGGGCAGGCUUGAGUUCGGUAGGGGAGACUGGAAUUCCUGGUGUAGCGGUGAAAUGCGUAGAUAUCGGAAGGAACACCAGUGGCGGAAAGCGGACUUCCGUGGUCCAGCAGUCGAC
rnacentral:rRNA from 1 species